GGCAAUUUGCUUCACUAGAGGUAAAUGUUCAGAAAAGGAGACAAAGGAAUAAAAGAGGUUACUUUAUUCAAAUAAAGGGAGAGUCAACUAGGGGCAUCAGUGAGUCCACAAGACAGGUCCCUGUGGGGUCUCUCAACACAUAGGAGGGUCAAAAACUCUUAUAUACUAGUUUUCCAGCUGCAAGUUCCCUCCUCCUUUCCCCGCUGGUUCAGGUACUCAGAGGUUACAACUUUCUGACACAUCUAUCCGCACAGAACACACAACAUGGGUUUACAUGAAUUGAAUGUUCAUUAUAUCUUACUCAAGGUAUCUCAGGGCGGAGAAGUUAAUAUGUAUAAGGCAAUUAAGCAUGCGCAUUAGAGUUACAGGUCACUAAAGUUCAAAUUGUGGUUUAUUCAAAAUAGGGGUCUCCCUCCUAAUACUUCUAGUUAGCUGAUUGGUCAGUUUUUUCACUUACCCGGUGAGGCGGGGGGGAGAGCCCCGAGGGGGGCUCUCGCUUCUGACGCCAAGCGCCAGGCGCGACCCGCUCCAGGAACAGCGGCAGGUGGGGAGUUUGACUGGGGUNNNNNNNNNNGGGUGGUACACCUGUCAAAGCGUAACGCAAGUGUCCUAAGGGAGGACGGAAACCUCCCGUAGAGCAGAAGGGCAAAAACUCACUUGAUCUUGAUUUUCAGUACAAAUACAGACCGUGAAAGCGGGGCCUCACGAUCCUUCUAGCUUUUUGGAUUUUAAGCAGGAGGUGUCAGAAAAGUUACCACAGGAAUAACUGGCUUGUGGCGACCAAGCGUUCAUAGCGAUGUUGCUUUUUGAUCCUUUGAUGUCGGCUCUUCCUAUCAUU
rnacentral:ncRNA from 1 species